rnacentral:rRNA from 1 species
UACGGAGGGAGCUAGCGUUAUUCGGAAUUACUGGGCGUAAAGCGCACGUAGGCGGCUUUGCAAGUUAGAGGUGAAAGCCCGGGGCUCAACUCCGGAAUUGCCUUUAAAACUGCAUCGCUAGAAUUGUGGAGAGGUAAGUGGAAUUCCGAGUGUAGAGGUGAAAUUCGUAGAUAUUCGGAAGAACACCAGUGGCGAAGGCGACUUACUGGACACAUAUUGACGCUGAGGUGCGAAAGCGUGGGGAGCAAACAGG